rnacentral:lncRNA from 1 species
UAUAUAUAUAUAUUUACUUAUUGUAAUAACAUGUAAUCAUUAUAUUAAUUUUUAUUAUUAUAAGCUAAUAUUUAUUUCUUUAUUACAACAGCUUGUUAGUUUUUAAGGUGAAUUUUUUAUGUUCACUCGCAUUCUAUAUUUUUUUUUUUUUCUUAACGAAAAAUAAUAAAAAAACAAAGUGGCCAUUGCUGUGUUUACGCAUACAUGGGUGAUAAAAUAAUGAAUAAGUAAUAAGUCAUAAACAAACAAACAAACAAAUAAACAAGCAAAUAAACAAACAAAUAAAUAAAUGAACAAACAAAUAAAUGAACAAACAAAUAAAUGAACAAAUAAAAUAAAUGAACAAAUAAAAUAAAUGAACANNNNNNNNNNCAAAUAAAAUAAAUGAACAAAUAAAAUAAAUGAACAAAUAAAAUAAACAAAUAAAAUAGGCAAGAAAAAAUCGACGUAUACUGUAAAUAAUGAAAAGGUUUGAUGCUAAAAAAUAUAUUAGAUUAGUCAGUCUUCUUAAUAAAAAAAAAAAAUGUCUUAGUUUAGAUUUCCCAUACGUAAAAAGUGAUAGUUGGCAUAAUGAAACUAUUAAUUGCUUAAACAAAAAUUUACAAUCGAAAAAUAACUGUACUGGUAAUCGUGCAAGUAAAAAUACUUGGUCCAAGUUUGUUACGACAAUACCUCCUACCCCUAACAAUACACAAGUGGGAGGUUUGAGUGUUUUAAAUGGUAAUAGUAAUAAGAACAAUAAUAAUACCCAUUGUAAUAAUUUAUUUUGUAAGUUGAAAAAAAAUAAAAAAAAAUUGAAUAAAAAUAAAAAAAUUAAUGAAGAUUUAUGUAUAAAAAUAACGUACAAUGAUAAUAGCAAUAGCAAAAAUACUAAAAGAAACAAAGAUACGAUUAUAGUUAAAAAUGUUAUGAACGAAAUAUACAUAAAUAAUGAUAAAAAAAAUACAUGUAAUUAUGAAAAUAGGGAUAAUGAGAGGGAUACUGGUAAACUUAUGUACAUUGGCACAAAUGAUAGUAGUAAAAGUAAUAGUAGUAGUAGUAGUAGUAUUAAUGGAACUAAUGGAACUAGCAAUAAUUAUAAACAUACAGAAAUGUUAUACAAAGAAAAUAAUAACAUCUUUUAUAAAAAUAGCAAAAUCAUAGAUAAAAAUGAUACCUUUAAGAAAAGAGAAUACAUUAUGAUGAGUGGUAGUACCGGUAUAAGUGAAGGUAUAGGUGACGGAAUUAAAGGAUACAAUGAUAUUGAUAAGGAUAAGGAACUUGUAGAAACGACACGCUCUCAAGUAUUAAAUGAAAACAGUUGUGAACAUGUAAUUGAUAGGAACGUCGAUAAGGAUGAACCUAGCAGUAAUCCACGUAUAGAAAGUAAACAGUUUUCUUGUGUUGGUAAUAAUAAUAAUGAUAAUACAAACGAAUCGAUUAAAAUUUCAUCAAACAGUAAAGAUAAAGAUGCUGUAGAAUCUAAUAAUCAGUCAGAGAUUGUAUGUGAUGAUGGUGUUUCAAGCGUGGAAGCUAAUAGUGGUAUUAGUGGUAAUAGUGGUAGUAGUAAUAGUGGUAGUAAUAUAUCAGAACGUGAAUACAAUAAUGAAGAAUUAACCGACGAAAAAGAAAAUUGCUCGAAAGUUAAGAUAACUAAAGAAUAUAUUAUUAAUAUAGAAGAAAUAAAAGAAGAUAAUAAAAAAAAAAAAAAAAAAAAAAAUAUUGUUGAUGAGCAGUAUGAACAAACUGGAACAAAACCAAUUUGGAAGGAACGUGUAGAUAUAAAUUGUGCAGAAGCGGAAAAGGAUGGUAAAGAUGGAAAUGUCAAGAUUAGUGGUAGCAGUAGUGGAGGUAGUGACAACACAAGUAAUGAUAGCAGUAUGCAUAGUAGUACUAUACAUGCAAGUGAUAGUAAAAAUUAUAGCUUCCGUAAUGACAAUAAUAAUGAUACCCACGAUAACCAACGUAGUAGCUACUUCCAAAUGAAAACUAUGAAAAACAGUAAAAAAUGUUUAUACCCACAUGAAAUUGUUGAACAUUUAAAUAAGUAUAUAAUUGGUCAAACUGAAGCUAAAAAAGUUGUAGCUAAUGCAUUAAGACAAAGAUGGAGAAGAAUACAAGUAGAUGAUGAUAUGAAAAAAGAUAUAAUACCAAAAAACAUUUUAAUGAUAGGACCUACAGGUGUUGGUAAAACAGAAAUAGCUAGAAGAAUUUCAAUGUUUGUUGAUGCGCCUUUUAUAAAAGUAGAAGCAACAAAAUUUACAGAAGUAGGGUUUCAUGGUAAGGAUGUAGAUCAAAUUAUUAAAGAUUUAGUAGAAAUAGCUGUAAAAAGACAGAAAACCAAAUUUGAAAUUGAAAUAAAAGAACAAGCUGAGGAAGCGGUUGAUAAUAUUAUUUUAUAUUCUUUGUUAGGUAAUAUAAAAGAAGAAGAAAAGGAUAUUUGGAGAAAAUAUUUAAAAGAUGGUUCUUUAGAUGAUAAGAUAAUAAGUAUAGAUAUACCGAAUUAU